GAUUGUUUGCAGAUAAUGCUGUUCUUCUUUUUCAGAAGUUUUUGGGGAGCCAACCCUCACAAACCUUCCUAAAAACUAAAAGAGCUAUUACUGAGUCUCAGCGACUCUUGCCACGAUCAGCUCUUCCCAGGUACAUUUGUUUACUCAUCAAAUGCUCUGGUCUGAAUCUUACUUUAAAUUAACUUAAUUAUAUGUUUAAUGAGCAAUAUUGCUCAUUGCACACAGAGUAAGAUUAUCUUGUUUCACAGAAGAGAAGGAAGACCAAGGAAAUGAUUUGCUCAGGAUGAGAAAUGAAGAUGGUCAUCUUGUGCUCAAGCAAACAGAAGUCCUCUGAUGAUCUCAUCAAACCAAACGAGGGGUUUUGACCAAGUGAUGCUCUUGAAAGGACUGAAAGAAGAGGAUGUGGUAAAUUGUCUUCAGAGAAAAAGCUUCUCAAAAGAUCUUAAAACAGCUUGAAGAAUGGUCUGGGAUCUUAGGACUGGGAGAUCUCACUGGCACCCAGUUAACCUCCAUAGAGAACAUUUAUCAGAAGCGCUGUCUGGGCAGGGCAAGAAACAUCAUCAAGGAUGCCUCUCACCCUAACCAUGGACCUAUCACCCUCCAUCCAUCCGGCAGGCGUUACAGGAGCCUACGCUCUCUAACUAGUAGACUCAGGAAGAGCUUCUUCCCCGAGGCUGUGACACCCCUGAACACCACACCACCAAUCUAUCCUGCACCUGCUCUUUUACUGCACUGGUCACAGUACUUUACAUACAUGUAUUGCACUACUCAUAUUUUGCACAGACUGCACAUAGUUAAAUCCAUUACACUAUAAACUGUCUAAAGCUGUUACUGUACAAGCACAGUAAACUAUUUCUACAAUAAAUAUAAUUGCACUACUAUUAUUUUGCAUAUAAUAAAUUGUUAAACUAUACUUUUGCACACUCAUUCAACUGUAUUUAUUACCACUGUUCUCAAGUUCCUGCUAUUCAUAAUGUAUAUAUAAUUCUUCUUUGCUCUGUUCAUAAUGUACAUACAAUCCCUACAUUAAAUUCAUAUUUAUAUUCUGUAUAUACUCUGAUCAAUAUUGUAUAUAGCAACUCCACUGUAAAUUCUGUAUAUCAUAGCUUUACUUACUCUGCACUUUUAUGUAUAUAAAACACUAUAUUCUUGCACUUCUGGUUAGAUGCUAACUGCAUUUCAUUAGCUCUGUACUUGUACUCUGCAUAAUGACAAUAAAGUUGAAUCUAAUCUAAUCUAAUCUAAUCUAAUCUUCUGGCUGAGAACAAGCUACACCACAUCAGUGCUGGAUAUCAACCAAAAGCUGUUUCCAGACACGAGAGAAGAUCACGAUGAAACCAGUUUUUGAUGUGUUGAUAAGGAAUCAUUAUUUUCUGAAACAGUAUCAAAUGUCUUAUAUGUAUCACAUGAUCUGUAUCACAGUUGACUGGAUGGGACUGUGACUUUUAAGGACAUUUCAUCACUCAUCUGUGUGAACUGAUUAAUAUAUGAGGUUAAUGUAUUUUUGAUUAUGAAUAAUUAUUUUCCUUGAAUCUUAUUUGUCUUGAUGCUACUUUAUCAUCUUUAUAGUAUAUGCUUCAAUAAAAUGAAUAUGAC
rnacentral:lncRNA from 1 species